rnacentral:lncRNA from 1 species
GCUGUAGUCUAGUGCUUAUUUUUGUUUCCAACAAUUUAAAUUGUUUUUAUUUUUGGGUAACAGAUCAAAUUAGGUCAAUAGUUUCUCGUUUUGAAUUCUUUUACAUUGUGUUAUUCUUGGGCAUUCUUAUAGCUUGGUAUAUAUUGUUGGUUUCGAUAAUUGUUGAAGGUCAUACGGUGAUAUUUUGUUGUUGUCAUCCUUGUUUUUUUAAUGAAUAACUAUCUCAUUUGGCAAUCAUACUUUUCUAUUUAUUUGUACAUUAUAAAACGUUUGUUCCGCGUAUUUAAAUUUACAUUAAAAUGAUAGUUGUCUCCCUUGUGUCGCUAUCCACAGAUUUUGUCAAUUGAUAUGGAAAUCAUAAUUUAUAUAAUUAUGAACAUAAUAGCAGGAUUUCCUGACUAUUCAUUCCAAGUACUUAGAGCGACUGGUUUUUGAGGGGUGCGCGACUUUGCUCCUGGAUGUUUUAUGUUUUUUAAAGUUAUUUAGCUCUGUUCUUUCAUGUCUGACAUAUUACUUUAUUAUCUCUUUUUUCAUAUUUUCAGACAAAUUAUUCUCAUUGUCUAUUGUUUACAUUUUUACCCAUUAUUCUUUAUUUUAUAAACCCCAUUCAAACCCUU